rnacentral:rRNA from 1 species
UACGUAGGGCGCAAGCGUUGUCCGGAAUUAUUGGGCGUAAAGAGCUCGUAGGCGGCUUGUCACGUCGGAUGUGAAAGCCCGGGGCUUAACCCCGGGUCUGCAUUCGAUACGGGCAGGCUAGAGUGUGGUAGGGGAGAUCGGAAUUCCUGGUGUAGCGGUGAAAUGCGCAGAUAUCAGGAGGAACACCGGUGGCGAAGGCGGGUCUCUGGGCCAUAACUGACGCUGAGGAGCGAAAGCGUGGGGAGCGAACAGG